CCCAGAGCGAAGCCUUCCCACUGCGCAGGCGCGGGGCCCUCACGCUAGCGGAGCGCCUGCACGGACCACGUUCCGGAAAUAAGGCGGCUCGCCAAUCAGGAGGGUUCUUCGAACCGGAAGUUGAUGUGGUUGCCUUGGGGACUGGGCUUCCUGGACCAGGUGAGGAGUCUCGAUUAGGUGAACCGUGCGAGUUUCGUGGCCCAGGGACUGUAAGCCAAAGAUGGAAAGAGCUGUAACCCUCGCCCAAGACUAUUCAAAGGGUAAGAAGUCACAAAAUGUUUGAAGAAAACCGGCCUGGAACUGCAAGAUGGCAAUUUCCACAGGCUCCUGGGUCACCUGGAAACUCGAAGGAGUCUGAUACCUUGGAUAUUUUGUAAAAGAGACAGAGGUGACUAACCCUAGGAAGUGCCUAGGAUUUGAGAUGCUUGAUGUGGUAAGACAAAGCCAUGGAAGAUGAUGUGGGACGGCGCCCUAGCACGCCGCGUGGAUUUGACCAGUGCACAUCUACUAGCGUGUCCCAGGAGACACUGAAAAAAAUCAGAAACAGAAAGAAAAGCAGAUGGAUCCAUCAAGUUGCUCCUCUUGUCUGGACUGGUGGUGCAUGGCUGUGAUCAUAGCCCUUGGGAAGUAGAGGCAAGAUCAGUAAGGCAGGGCCAGCCUUAGCUACAAUACUGAGUAUGAGGCCAACCUGGGCAACAAGAGACCCUGUCUGAAAAGAAAGCUAUAUAUCCCAGGCUGGCCUCAAGUGACUCUGUAGGCUGUGGUGGGUUAGAUGCCUCCUGCCUUGGCCUUCCACGUUCUGAGAUUAUAAGCACGAGCCACACCACACUUGGCCAAAAACUCCUUUUCUCAGAGGGCUACAGGAGACUUCUUAGUCUAGGGUUCGAGUUUACUGGUAGAGUGCUUCUCUGGUGUGUACAAGGACCUGGAUUCCAGCCCCAAGGUGGAAAACAGGAGACCGGCCUGUUUAUCUGCCUACUCAGGUCACCUGUCCCCUUCCAACAAGCUGCUGUGUCCUGCCAUCACACUCUAUACUCUAUACUCUUGGUGACAGUGAUCAUCCAAUGUAUCCCAGCAGCCAUACAGUGACUGGCAAGUCUGUCACUCAAGUUAUCGAUACACAAGUGACCAUAUAAAGGGCUAAGGUGUUCCCAAGAACGAGAACUAUACCUGGAGCUAGAGCUGGAGCUAGAGGUGUUUGGCACAUUACAGGGGCUGAACUAGCAGUGACGGGGUUAAGCACACAUUAGAGGUCAGAUUAUAUAUGGCAACUGUGACAAAACAAAGAAUAGCUUAGUAAAUCGGCCUGGGCUUUGGAGCCACACAAGUCAAAAUGUCAGGGCUGGCAAGAUGGCUCAGUGUGUAAGGGGUUUGCUACACAGUCCUAAUGGCUUCACUUUGAUCCCCAGAACCCACAGUGAGAACCCAAGAAGAGGACUGGCUCUCACAAGUUGACCUCUGACUUCCACACACACUGAGGUGCACUUACACAGGCAUGCUGUACAAACACACAAUAAUUUAAAGGACUGGCCAGAUGCCUCAGCAGCUCAGGGUGGUUGCCCUCGAGCCUGAAGACCUGAGUUUGAUUCCCAGAACCUCCAUAGAGGAAGGAGAGAGCAGACUCUUGUUAUCUUUCCUGUGAUCGCCACACUUGCACAGGCCCUGGAGGGGCAGAACUAGAAGGCACUAUGUCCUCCUUCGGGGUCACUAAAUGAUUCUCAUACCGCAGUCCAGAGAAAUGCACUUCGUACUCAAGAUAAGAAUGGCGAUAUCAACUUACUGGUUGUGUUUAAAACAAUAAAACCUUGAUCAUUACUCAUAAA